AGUGUAGGCGGUUUGUUAAGUCAGAUGUGAAAGCCCGGGGCUCAACCCCGGAAGUGCAUUUGAAACUGGCAGACUUGAGUAUGGGAGAGGAAAGUGGAAUUCCUGGUGUAGAGGUGAAAUUCGUAGAUAUCAGGAGGAACACCAGUGGCGAAGGCGACUUUCUGGACCAAUACUGACGCUCAGACUCGAAGGCGUGGGGAGCAAACAGGAUUAGAUACCCUGGUAGUCC
rnacentral:rRNA from 1 species